rnacentral:rRNA from 1 species
AGUGGCGGACACCUUGGAACUUGCUGCGGUGAAGGUCGCAGCUACCAAGGCCCAUGUGCUGCGACGCAUCUCU